CAUGCAUUUUAUGCAGGAGAUGGGAGAAAAAAAACCCUUGCAGUCAGAUACCAGUAGGAGUUAGAAUCAAAAGCAAGGGGAAAACUAGAAUGGACACUGCAUGAGCUUCCACAGAUAUUUGUAAGAACGAAUUGUUGUGCCAGGUGACCUUCAAGAUCUACUUGGAUGUACUGUAUGAUUCUGUGCCAAAAUGUUAUGAAGGAGUCUUGUCAGAAAGGAGGCAAAACACAGUGUGGUGCUGGCCGUUACAGCCGUGGCUUCCUAUCUGAUGAUCUGUCACACUUCCGGUGGCUCGCCGUCUGCUUUCUCUCCCACCUGUUCAACCACCCCUCGCAGGCAAGUGCCAAGGAAACCAAGUGUGACUUAAAUGUCUCUUAUCACUAAGUAAACAACCUGUGCCUCUUAAGCCAAAGCUACAGGUUACUGACUGCCCUUUCCAAGGAGUUAUAUCUGAAAGCAUUGACUUAGUUGCUGAGGGACACACAUGUACGGGUAUCUACAAGAGAAGCAUGUUGUGUUGACAUUUUUCCUUUCUUUGCUUAGGGUAUACCUUAGCUUUUUUUUUUCUAACACAGGAUGAAUUAUCUCCACGAUCUGUUCACAAAGUUUUAGAAUGUGUGCUUUUUAAGUCCUCAAACCACAACUCUUUAAUUUUAAAAGCCAAUGCAGCAUUAGCUGUUUUCAAAGCGAUUCUCACCCUUUCAAACUAGCACCUCAGUAAGUAAACACACAUACAAAAGCCCCCAAUCUAAUGUUUGUUGAAAUGGUUAAAAACAUGUCUCCUAAUUUUUGCUGGACAUGAAGUUGUUCUGAUCCAAGGCAUGCAGUUGGUGCAUGGAUGUAGCUGAUUGGCAUGUAACAAACAAGGCAUAUGAGGAAGAAAACACACGCACCUGAGCACUACACAGCUUUGCAUGUAUCUGUGUACUCUCACAGCAUAUGGCAUUGUGGUUUUAAAUGGUUUUGUAAGCUAUCCUGUUUGGUGCAUGACUACUAGAAAGAUAUAUAUGUAUACAUUGACAGGUUUGGGAGAAACCUGAAGGAAUUGUUAAAUGCCGUUUUGUACUAAAGCAAUAAGUAUUUAUCAGAAUCAGUGCUAAAGAAAGAAGCAAAGCUAGAAUUUAUCCAGCUGAGUAAAUUGUAACAGCUGAGAGAGCAAUCCCUGGAUUGGCUAAUCCUGGGAUAAAGCUAGCAGACCUAACACACACUGUGGGUUGGUGUCAUUGUGGAUUGCUGUUGUCGUGUUGCUGUGCUGGAGUAUCCUGGAAGAAGCUGUGUCUUUGUGCUGUAUAUUGGAAGAGGAACGCUGGCUACUGGACUGAACAUAUGGUAUUGGACUGCUGAACUAAUUUACAAGGACUUUGACUCUGAUUUAUGCAUUGAACUCUGUGGAAACUGCUGUGUAUGACUUCGGGACUGGAAACAAGGACUAAGCUGUACAUGUAUAUAUCCUGUAAAUAAUACAACUAUUCUGCUAUCAACACUGCAUUAUUGCUUGGUGUCUUCAUCUCUUAGGGAAGUUCUUUUGGUUAGUGCCACCUGGUGCAUGCUGGUAAUACCGUGACUCUGUCAUAUAUAAAUAAAAAUGAACAAACAAGUCUCCA
rnacentral:lncRNA from 1 species